ACGGGGUGCAGCAGGCGCGAAACCUUCGCAAUGCGCGAAAGCUUGACGAGGCUACCCGGAGUGCUUCUUGAAGAAAGAAGCUGUUGCGAGUGUAUAACUAGCCUCGCGAGUAAGGAGGGGGCAAGGCUGGUGCCAGCCGCCGCGGUAAUACCAGCUCUCCGAGUUGUGGGGACGUUUAUUGAGCCUGAAGCAUCCGUAGCCGGCUGUGCAAGUCCUCUGUUAAAUCCAGCGAUAAAUCGUUGGCCUGCGGGGGAUACUGCUCGGCUAGGGGGCGGGAGAGGCCGUCGGUAUUCUUGGGGUAGGGGUGAAAUCCUAUAAUCCCAGGAGGACCACCAGUGGCGAAGGCUGUCGGCUAGAACGCGCUCAACGGUGAGGGAUGAAAGCUGGGGGGGCGAACCGGAUUAGAUACCCGGGUAGUCCCAGCUGUAAACAAUGCAGGCUGGGUGUUAGGGCGGCUACGUGCCGUUCUAGUGCCGCAGGGAAGCUGUUAAGCCUGCCGCCUGGGGAGUACGGCCGCAAGGCUGAAACUUAAAGGAAUGGGCGGGGGAGCAC
rnacentral:rRNA from 1 species